rnacentral:sRNA from 1 species
GGGGAAGGGGAGAAUGGGAAAUGACUGCUACUGAGGUUUUUUUUUGGGUGAUGAAAAUGUUCUGGUGUUAGAUACUGAUGAUGGUUGCAACAACUUUGUGAAUUUAUGAAAAAACCACUUAAUUAUACACUUUUCACCCCACUUCCUCUGCCAUCUUGGUCCUACUGUUCUGAGGAGUUACCUGUACACCCUGCCUCCAGCUCUCCUGAGCAGAGAGAUCCUGAUGGCUGACUCAGAAGCACUCCCCUCCCUUGCUGGGGACCCAGUGGCUGUGGAAGCCUUGCUCCGGGCCGUGUUUGGGGUUGUUGUGGAUGAGGCCAUUCAGAAAGGAACCAGUGUCUCCCAGAAGGUGAGUCCUUUCCUCCUCCUCCUUCCCAUCAAGCUUUCUUUCUUUUCUUUUCUCUUUUUUCCUUUCUUUUC